rnacentral:snRNA from 1 species
AGCUUUGUGCAGUGGUAAUAUCAUAGCCUAUGAGGUUUAUCAGAGGUGCGAUUAUUGCUGGUUGAAAACUUUACCCACUACAGUUUUUAUCAGACUACACUCAGUCACUUGAGAUAUUUGAGGGGAAGUAAAUAAUU